UCACGUUGUCCGUGUCCCGCACCAAGUC
rnacentral:piRNA from 1 species